rnacentral:tRNA from 1 species
GGUGGCUCAGUGGUAGAGUGCUUGCCUUGCAUGCAUGAGGCUCCGGGUUUGAUUCCCCAGCACCA